UACGUAGGGUGCAAGCGUUGUCCGGAAUCACUGGGCGUAAAGGGCGCGUAGGCGGCUCAUGAAGGCUGUGGUGAAAGUCCGGGGCUCAACCUCGGAUCGGCCGUGGCGACUCGUGGGCUGGAGCACUGUAGAGGCGGGUGGAAUUCCGGGUGUAGCGGUGGAAUGCGUAGAGAUCCGGAAGAACACCAGUGGCGAAGGCGGCCCGCGUGGGCAGUGGCUGACGCUGAGGCGCGAAAGCGUGGGGAGCAAACAGG
rnacentral:rRNA from 1 species